UACAGAGGUCUCAAGCGUUGUUCGGAUUCAUUGGGCGUAAAGGGUGCGUAGGCGGCGCGGUAAGUCGGGUGUGAAAUCUCGGAGCUUAACUCCGAAACUGCAUUCGAUACUGCCGUGCUUGAGGACUGGAGAGGAGACUGGAAUUUACGGUGUAGCGGUGAAAUGCGUAGAUAUCGUAAGGAAGACCAGUGGCGAAGGCGGUUUGCCAGAACGCGCUCGACGGUGAGGGAUGAAAGCUGGGGGAGCAAACCGG
rnacentral:rRNA from 1 species